rnacentral:rRNA from 1 species
GACGAACGCUGGCGGCGUGCUUAACACAUGCAAGUCGAACGGUAAGGCCCUUCGGGGUACACGAGUGGCGAACGGGUGAGUAACACGUGGGUGAUCUGCCCUGCACUUCGGGAUAAGCCUGGGAAACUGGGUCUAAUAACGGAUAGGACCACUGCCUGCAUGGGUGGUGGUGGAAAGCUUUUGCGGUGUGGGGUGGGCCAGCGGCCUUGCAGCUUGUUGGUGGGGUGAUGGCCUACUAAGGCGACGACGUGUAGCCGUCCUGAGAGGGUGACCGGCCACAUUGGGACUGAGAUACGGCCCAGACUCCGACGGGAGGCAGCAGUGGGGAAUAUUGCACAAUGGGCGCAAGCCUGAUGCAGCGACGCCGCGUGAGGGAUGACGGCCUUCGGGUUGUAAACCUCUUUCAGCACCGACGAAGCGCAAGUGACGGUAGGUGCAGAAGAAGGACCGGCCAACUACGUGCCAGCCGCCGCAGUAA